rnacentral:lncRNA from 1 species
CAGCAAUGGGGACAGGGACAUGGAUGGGAGAGGACAGGUUGGGUUGGGGAUGUGGAUGAGGUGGGACAGGAAUGGGACAGCACGGGGACAGGGACAAUAAAGGGAUGGGACAAUAAAGGGAUGGGACAAUAAAGGGAUGGGGACAGAGAUCGAGUGAGGAUGUGGAUGGAAUAGGACAGGAGAGAGAUGGGGACAGGGACAUGGAUGGGAUGGGGACAAGGAUGGUAUGGGGACAUGGAUGGAGUGAGACAGGAUAGGGACAGGGACGUGGAAGGGAGGGGACAGGUUGGGUUGGGGACGUGGAUGAGGUGGGACAGGGAUGGGACAGCACGGGGACAGGGACAUGGACGGGAUGGGGACAUGGAUGGGAUGGGACAGUAAAGGGAUGGGGACAGAGGUGGAGCGAGGAUGUGGAUGGAAUAGGACAGGACAGGGAUGGGGACAGGGACAGAGAUGGAGCGAGGAUGUGGAUGGAAUAGGACAGGAGAGGGAUGGGGACAGGGACAUGGAUGGGAUGGGGAUGUGGAUG